GGGCGGCCGGGGCUGGCUCCCGGGGACAGCGACCCUGCCCCCGCGGGAGGCCGCAGAGUUGCCAGUUUGGGUUGGCUGUAUUCCGGGAGGUUGCACCACGUGACAAAAGCCAUGGCAAUUAGUCUUUAAGUCCUGGCGACUCCCGGACAAUCCGGGAGGGUUGGCAAUCCUAGGGGAGCGUAGCCCUGUGGGGAUCCCGGGCAGUGGCUGACACGGCCCCUUUGCUAGGACAGAGACCAGCGAGUGAUUACUGACCCGCCCGGGCCCUGUGACAUGACAACCGUCUUCGGAAAGAACUGGGGACGCCAGGAGCUUCAUCAAAUGGCUCAUCCACAUGCACAAAUUGAACCACUGUAACCGUACCCGCGUAUCAAUGGGCCGGCUACCGGAAUCGGCCUCGAUCGCCCGGUCGGUGGCUACUGAAAGCAAUCCGGGAGAUUGUAAUUGGCUGCCAAAAGUCCGGUGGGCAGGGCUAAGCAGGCUCCCUACUUGCCCUGGUAUGUGAUUGGCACGUCCCUCGGGCUCCUAGGCGCAGGGGUGGCCAGGGGGUCUCUGCAUGCUGCCCCUGCCCUAAGUGCCGACUCCGCAGCCAAUGGGAGCUCCCGGCCAAUGGGAGCUGCGGGGGCAGUGCCUGCAGGCGGGGGCAGCGCGCAGAGCUGCCUGGCUGCCCCUGAACCUAGGAGCCAGACAUGCUGGCCCCUUUCAGGAGCCUCUCAAGGUAAUUUCUAAUCCCGUGAACCAUCGACCAGACAUGCUUUGAGGCAAAGAACUCCAAUCUUGGGAUGAAGGAUCUUCCCACGUUCCUCGGAGAGAAGAUGAGGAGCUACCUGGAGAGUGAUUGGACUUUGGAUAUUAGAGGAGUCGAGGGGAACGCAUACAGUAGACCUGAUGAUCACUGAAGGUGAAAGGCAUCCCCCAAGGAUCAGUGGCUCAGCCUGCCUCUGGAGCAGAACUGGGCGCAUUUCUUGUUUACCAUCGUGGAGAACAGGUGUAUUUGAGGGGUGCCCCAUUGCCAGAAUAUGUGAUGAAGUAUGAUGGGAUUUAUCUCCCACUCAUGGUCUUGAGAGAAGUGCCUGCUGAGUUUGUCUGCCAUCACAUUCUGAACUACUGGGAGAGGGUCCUGGUGGAUUUUUGAAUGUUCAGUUGCAGGCCCAAUUUGAGAUAGAGGUCUAUGGCUUUGCAAGUUGCCCGUGAAGUUAAGCCCAGGGAGCGACCUUUCAGAUGCCAAUUGUCUAGGUAAGGGAACACCAGUAUUCUU